GACGAACGCUGGCGGCGUGCUUAACACAUGCAAGUCGAACGGAAAGGCCCUGCUUUUGUGGGGUGCUCGAGUGGCGAACGGGUGAGUAACACGUGAGUAACCUGCCCUUGACUUUGGGAUAACUUCAGGAAACGGGGGCUACUACCGGAUAGGAGCUCCUGCUGCAUGGUGGGGGUUGGAAAGUUUCGGCGGGUGGGGAUGGACUCGCGGCUUAUCAGCUUGUUGGUGGGGUAGUGGCUUACCAAGGCUUUGACGGGUAGCCGGCCUGAGAGGGUGACCGGCGACAAUGGGACUGAGAUACGGACCAGACGGCUACGGGAGGCAGCAGUGGGGAAUAUUGCACAAUGGGAGGAAGCCUGAGGAAGCAACGCCGGGUGCGGGAUGACGGCCUUCGGGUUGUAAACCGCUUUCGCCUGUGACGAAGCGUGAGUGACGGUAAUGGGUAAAGAAGCACCGGCUAACUACGUG
rnacentral:rRNA from 1 species